UACGGGGGGGAGCAAGCGUUGUUCGGAUUUACUGGGCGUAAAGGGCGCGUAGGCGGCACCGCAAGUCGACUGUGAAAUCUCCGGGCUUAACCCGGAAACUGCCAUUGAUACUAUUUGUCUUGAAUACUGUGGAGGUCAGCGGAAUAUGUCAUGUAGCGGUGAAAUGCUUAGAUAUGACAUAGAACACCAAUUGCGAAGGCAGCUGGCUACACAAAUAUUGACACUGAGGCACGAAAGCGUGGGGAUCAAACAGG
rnacentral:rRNA from 1 species